AUUGAACGCUGGCGGCAGGCCUAACACAUGCAAGUCGAGCGAGCGGCGGACGGGUGAGUAAUGUCUGGGAAACUGCCUGAUGGAGGGGGAUAACUACUGGAAACGGUAGCUAAUACCGCAUACCAUCAGAUGUGCCCAGCUGGGAUUAGCUAGUAGGUGGGGUAAUGGCUCACCUAGGCGACGAUCACUAGCUGGUCUGAGAGGAUGACCAGCGCCACUGAAACGGAGACACGGUCCAGACGCCUACGGGAGGCAGCAGUGGGGAAUAUGGGACAGUGGGCGUAAGUCUGAUGCAGCCAUGCCGCGUGUAUGAAGAAGGCCUUCGGGUUGUAAAGUACUUUCAGCGAGGAGGCGUUACUCGCAGAAGAAGCACCGGCUAACUCCGUGCCAGCAGCCGCGGUAAUAC
rnacentral:rRNA from 1 species